UACGAAGGGGGCUAGCGUUGCUCGGAAUUACUGGGCGUAAAGGGCGCGUAGGCGGAUAGUUAAGUCAGAGGUGAAAGCCCAGGGCUCAACCUUGGAAUUGCCUUUGAUACUGGCUAUCUUGAGUAUGGGAGAGGUUAGCGGAACUCCGAGUGUAGAGGUGAAAUUCGUAGAUAUUCGGAAGAACACCAGUGGCGAAGGCGGCUAACUGGCCCAUUACUGACGCUGAGGCUCGAAAGCGUGGGGAGCAAACAGG
rnacentral:rRNA from 1 species